rnacentral:rRNA from 1 species
AACGCGAAGAACCUUACCUGGGCUUGACAUGUUAGUCGUAGACUUGUGAAAGCUUGUCGUCACUUCGGGUGGACUAUCACAGGUGCUGCAUGGCUGUCGUCAGCUCGUGUCGUGAGAUGUUGGGUUAAGUCCCGUAACGAGCGCAACCCCUAUGAACUGUUGCCAGCGGGUAAUGCCGGGGACUCUGUUCAGACUGCCCAGAUUAACUGGGAGGAAGGAGGGAAUGACGUCAAGUCGGUAUGGCCCUUACGCCCAGGGCUGCACACGUGCUACAAUGUCCAGUACAAUGUGAACCGAGACCGCGAGGUGGAGGAAAUCAAUAAAACUGGGCUCAGUUCGGAUUGUAGGCUGCAACUCGCCUACAUGAAGUUGGAAUCGCUAGUAAUGGUACAUCAGCUACGGUACCGUGAAUACGUUCCCGGGUCUUGUACACACCG